rnacentral:misc_RNA from 1 species
AUCAAAUGAAAGGGCUCAACAAGCAGAAUACAAUAUACUAUAAAAAAUUGAAAUCCAAGAUGGCGGCCGCUACAAAAUGGCGGAUAACGUAGGUUUUAUCGAUCCCAUCAAUAUGGGUAUCAAAUGAAAGUGCUCAACCAGUAUAAUUAAUGUACUAUAUAAAAUUAAAAUCCAAGAUGGCGGCCUCUACAAAAUGGCGGAUAACUUAGGUUUUAUCAAUCCCAUCAACAUUUGUAUCAA